CCAACCAAAAAUGUGUCUUCUCACUUUCCUAAUUUAAUGUUUACAGUUUGGGAGGAGGAAUGGGUCCGUCAGGAUCAAAUUACCAUAAAAUACAUAGAGGAAUAAGUGUGUCAGAAACACAUUACAGUGAAAUACAUGGAAGAAUAAGUUUGGGAGGAGGAAUGGGUAAUACUAUGGGAAAAUAGCGACCAACUGAAAGCGGGAACGGCCAUCAAGCAAUAACUAUAAACCAUACAUUGCUGUCAGUACGGAGCUGUUACAGCACAUCGGAUUAUAGGGGCAACAGGUUGGACUUGUUUGUUAUGUGCUGCUAAUUAUUAGAUUUAUUGCUCCAAUGAAUGAAAAUAUUCUCUAAUGAACACUAUUCCCUGCUGGAAAGCUACAGUCUAAUAGAACUGCUCUAUAAUCACAAUAAAUCAAACCAUUACCCAGUA